rnacentral:ncRNA from 1 species
UUGAGCCGGAUGAAAGGAAACUUUCACGUCCGAUUUUGAAGGGGGGAGAUCCUAUAAGGAUCCUAUCCCAAU